rnacentral:rRNA from 1 species
GAAACUGCGAACGGCUCAUACAACAGAUAUAAUCUACGUGCUUUGACGUUUUAAACGGAUAACUGCGGUAAUUCUGGAGCCAAUACGUGCUAAAAGCCGAAUUCAGCAGUGAGUUUGGUGCACUUAUCGGAGCAAAACCUUUCCUGGUUUGAUGCUAACUCUGGAUAACCUGGCUUAUCGCAUGACCUUGUGUCGGCGAAGUUGCACUCGAGUAUCUGCCUUAUCAACUAUCGUCGGUAGUGUAUUGGACUACCGAGGUGUUGACGGGUAACGGAGAAUGAAGGUUCGACUCCGGAGAGGGAGCCUUAGAAACGGCUACCAUGUCUAAGGACAGCAGCAGGCGCGCAACUUAUCCACUGGUCAUUGAACGAGAUAGUGACCAGAAAUAACAAGCUUGUUCUCUUUGAGGUCGAGCAUUGGAAUGGAUGGAACGUAAACAAUUCCAUGAGUAACAACGAGAGGGCAAGUCUGGUGCCAGCAGCCGCGGUAAUUCCAGCUCUCGUAAUGUAUAGAAUUAUUGUUGCGGUUAAAAAGUUCGUAGUUGGAUUUUCUACUGCGACUGGUCGCAUCUAACGAUGUGCACUAGAAGCAGUACUUGUGCCACGGUCGGGGUCAACCCGACGGGGCGCGGAUUACUUUGAACGGCUUAAGUGCUCAAGGCGAGUCUUCGGACUGAAUACCGGUGCAUGGAAUAAUGGAACAAGGUUUGGGCCGAGUUUUAUUGGUUUUGUCGGCUUAAACAAUGGUUAACAGGAACAGCUGGGGGCACUCGUAUCGCUGCGCGAGAGGUGAAAUUCGUGGACCGCAGCGAGACGCCCGAGAGCGAAGGCAUUUGCCAAGAGUGUUUUCAUUAAUCAAGAACGAAAGUCAGAGGUUCGAAGGCGAUUAGAUACCGCCCUAGUUCUGACCGUAAACGAUGCCAACUAUCAAUCCGCCAGUGGCUUUGAGUCGUUGGCGGGCGGAUGGACGGAAACGAAAGUCUUUCGGUUCCGGGGGAAGUAUGGUUGCAAAGCUGAAACUUAAAGGAAUUGACGGAAGGGCACCACCAGGAGUGGAGCUUGCGGCUUAAUUUGACUCAACACGGGAAACCUCACCCGGCCAGUACAUCAUAAGGAUUGACAGAUUGACAGCUCUUUCAUGAUUUGAUGAAUGGUGGUGCAUGGCCGUUCUUAGUUCGUGGCGUGAGUCGUCUGCUUAAUUGCGAUAACGAGCGAGACUCUGACUGCUAAAUACCUGCUGGAUUGAUUGUCCACGCGGGUUCUUAGCUGGAUUCGAGACUGCAAGUCUCAAGAAAUAGAGCAAUAACAGGUCUGUGAUGCCCUUAGAUGUUCGGGGCCGCACGCGUGCUACAAUGAUGGUAACAGCGUGCUUGUCCUCGCCCGAGAGGGCUUGGCAAACAGUUGAGGUAUUAUUACGGCUGGAAUUGAGUGUUGAAAUUUUCCCUCAUGAACGAGGAAUUCCAAGUAAAUGCGAGUCAUCAACUUGCAUUGAUUACGUCCCUGCCCUUUGUACACACCGCCCGUCGCUACCCGGGACUGAUUCGUUUCGAGAAAUUCACGGACCAGUUGCCAUGGGAUUUACCUCCGAUGCAGCAGGAAAGUGACUUGAUCGCGAUGGAUUGAACCGGGUAAAAGUCGUAACAAGGUAUCGGUAGGUGAACCUGCCGAUGGAUCACUAACAAACAGCGAUCAACCCUUGUGUUGGCUUGGCAAGAGCGUUUGACGACAAGUUGUCGUCAACCUCUUCCAUCGGACA